UCUGAUGUUAAUGUUAUAUUUUUUUAUUAUUGUAUAUUAUAUUGGUAUUUUGUGUGGAGGUUGUAGUGUUAUUAUAGAGUAGAAGUACUUUUUAGGAAUUAUUUUAUUUUUAUUAAAUUUAGGUUUUUAAUACCUUUUGUAUUAGGGGUCUUUAAUGUGAAUAGAUAUGGAUUUUUUCUCGAUGAAUAUUGGGCUAUUUAAUCUUAUUUUGCUUUCGUUGUAUAGAAAUGAUUGAGGAUUAUAUAGUUAUGAAAUAUUAUUCAAAAUAUUUUAUAUCUAGUUUUUCUAGAGUUGUAAUGGGGUGUAUAAUUAUUUGGGAUGUAAGUAGGGAUUAGCUUAUUUAUAAUUUAUAUGUUAAUUGUGUUAUAUUUUAUUUGUGGAGUUAAAAGUUCUUAUUGUUAUGGUGUUAUUACUAGAUAAUUUUUUUUUAUAAUUUUUUUAUUUUAUGUUAGGAUGGAGAAGAUUGUGUUAAUUUUGAUUAAUGAUGAUAUAAUGAUGAUAUUAGUAAUAUUUAUAUUUAUAGUAAGAGUUUUAGAUUAUUUGGUUAAUUUUAAAGAUUGGUUAUUAAUGACGAAGAAUUAGGCAAAGUAUUAACCUUUGACUGUUUAGCAAAAACAUUGUUUUUUGUUAUAGAUAGAAAAUAAGUUCUGCCCACUGUUUUUAUGAAGGGCUGCAGUAUUUUGACUGUAUGAAGGUAGCAUAAUCAUUAGCUUUUUAAUUGGGGGCUGGUAUGAAGGGGAAACAGAGGUUUGCUGUUUUAUUUUUAAUUAGUGAAUUUUAUUUUUAUGUGAAAAAUCAUAAGUGAGAUAAUGGGACAAGAAGACCCUAGUAAGUUUAAUUUUUUAUUUUUAAUGCAUAUAUAGGAAUAAAAAUUUAUGUAAUUUAUUAUAUUUAGUUUAACUGGGGCGGUGUGUUAUAAAACAUAGCUUAUUUUUUAACUUGAAUGAUGGCGAUUUGGUAGACCUAAGUGGUUUAGUUGAGUGAAAAAUUACUGCAGGGAUAACAGCGUAAUUUUUUUUAAGAGUUCUUAUUAACAGAAAAGUUUGCGACCUCGAU
rnacentral:rRNA from 1 species